rnacentral:rRNA from 1 species
GAGGAAUAUUGGUCAAUGGACGGAAGUCUGAACCAGCCAAGUAGCGUGCAGGAUGACGGCCCUAUGGGUUGUAAACUGCUUUUGUAUGGGGAUAAAGUUAGGGACGUGUCCCUAUUUGCAGGUACCAUACGAAUAAGGACCGGCUAAUUCCGUGCCAGCAGCCGCGGUAAUACGGAAGGUCCAGGCGUUAUCCGGAUUUAUUGGGUUUAAAGGGAGCGUAGGCUGGAGAUUAAGUGUGUUGUGAAAUGUAGACGCUCAACGUCUGAAUUGCAGCGCAUACUGGUUUCCUUGAGUACGUACAACGUUGGCGGAAUUCGUCGUGUAGCGGUGAAAUGCUUAGAUAUGACGAAGAACUCCGAUUGCGAAGGCAGCUGACGGGAGCGCAACUGACGCUGAAGCUCGAAGGUGCGGGUAUCGAACAGGAUUAGAUACCCUGGUAGUCCGCACAGUAAACGAUGGAUGCCCGCUGUUGGUACGUGGUAUCAGCGGCUAAGCGAAAGCAUUAAGCAUCCCACCUGGGGAGUACGCCGGCAACGGUG